UAAAUCUUAGCUUUUCUCCCUUCAGCUAUUCAUACCGCAAAACUGAGGGAAUGAUUGGGGAAAAAAGAAACAUCCAUUCCGGGGCCAAGUCUUCUUGGAGGAGGCAACCGAUCCAUUUAAUGCAGUCUGCUCUGCCGUAAUUAAACCUCUCUUUUGUACUCAACGCAAGAAUGAAUUGCAGAUGGGUUAAAUGAUGGUCAGUUACAAUUAUGUACUUAUUUUCCCCAGGAUCAAAACAAUGUAUCCGAAUCUUUUUGCACCCCUUCAUUACUUCAUUUGGAUGCUUGAUAGGCACCGUGUGAAAAUUAAAACGAUCAGUCUGCUUUCUGGCGUUCUGGUUGGGAAGAGAUGUUGGGUUUUUUUUUCUCCCUCUUAAUUAGCUUGCAGAAUUAAAAUCCUCGAUUUA